rnacentral:rRNA from 1 species
AACGAACGCUGGCGGCGUGCCUAACACAUGCAAGUCGAACGGGGAUAGAUAGCUUGCUAUUUAUUCUAGUGGCGCACGGGUGAGUAACGCGUAGAUAAUCUGCCUUGGACUCUGGGAUAACAUUUCGAAAGGGGUGCUAAUACCGGAUAAGCCCACGGGGACGUAAGUUCUUGCGGGAAAAGGGGGCCUCUGCAUAUGCUCUUGAUCCAAGAUGAGUCUGCGUACCAUUAGCUAGUUGGUAGGGUAAGAGCCUACCAAGGCGACGAUGGUUAGCUGGUCUGAGAGGAUGAUCAGCCACACUGGAACUGAGACACGGUCCAGACUCCUACGGGAGGCAGCAGUGGGGAAUUUUGCGCAAUGGGGGAAACCCUGACGCAGCAACGCCGCGUGAGUGAUGAAGGCUUUCGGGUCGUAAAGCUCUGUCUAGAGGGAAGAAAUGAUAUUGGGUUAAUACCCUGAUUUCU